rnacentral:misc_RNA from 1 species
GUGAAUCAUCGAAUCUUUGAACGCAAAUUGCACUCUCUGGUAUUCCGGAGAGUAUGCCUGUUUGAGGUUCAGUUUAAAUAAAUAUCGGUUUGAUUGCUGCCUUUCGUAGUGACUCACCGGAUUUGGUGCAUCUUGCCUUCGGUUAAGUGACCUAAAAUUUUGCAUGAUUUUUUUAUAACGUAAUUAAAUGAUUUUACAUACGUUUGCUACAACAUAU